GUUGACCUCGAAUCAGGUAGGAAUACCCGCUGAACUUAAG
rnacentral:rRNA from 1 species